AUUGAACGCUGGCGGCAGGCCUAACACAUGCAAGUCGAACGAGUGGCGGACGGGUGAGUAAUGUCUGGGAAACUGCCCGAUGGAGGGGGAUAACUACUGGAAACAGUAGCUAAUACCGCAUACCAUCGGAUGUGCCCAGAUGGGAUUAGCUAGUAGGUGGGGUAACGGCUCACCUAGGAGACGAUCCCUAGCUGGGCUGAGAGGAUGACCAGCCACACGAGAACUGAGACGCGGUCCAGGCUCCUACGGGAGGCAGCAGUUGGGAAUAGUGCACAGUGGGCGCAAACCUGAUACAGCCAUGCCGCGUGUAUUGAGGAGGCGUUCGGUUUGUAAAGUACUUUCUGCGAGUACGCGUUACUCGCAGAAGAAGCACCGGCUAACUCCGUGCCAGCAGCCGCGGUAAUUC
rnacentral:rRNA from 1 species